rnacentral:rRNA from 1 species
CCUACGGGUGGCAGCAGUGAGGAAUAUUGGUCAAUGGACGAGAGUCUGAACCAGCCAAGUAGCGUGAAGGAUGACUGCCCUAUGGGUUGUAAACUUCUUUUAUAUGGGAAUAAAAUGUUCCACGUGUGGGAUUUUGUAUGUACCAUAUGAAUAAGGCUCGGCUAACUCCGUGCCAGCAGCCGCGGUCAUACGGAGGAUCCGGGCGUUAUCCGGAUUUAUUGGGUUUAAAGGGAGCGUAGGUGGAUUGUUAAGUCAGUUGUGAAAGGUUGCGGCUAAACCGUAAAAUUGCAGUUGAAACUGGCAGUCUUGAGUACAGUAGAGGUGAGCGGAAUUCGUGGUGUAGCGGGGAAAUGCGUAGAUAUCACGAAGAACUCCGAUUGCGAAGGCAGUUCACUGGACUGCAACUGACACUGAGGCUCGAAAGUGUGGGUAUCAAACAGGAUUAGAUACCCCAGUAGUC